UGGGGAAUAUUGCACAAUGGGCGCAAGCCUGAUGCAGCCAUGCCGCGUGUAUGAAGAAGGCCUUCGGGUUGUAAAGUACUUUCAGCGGGGAGGAAGGGAGUAAAGUUAAUACCUUUGCUCAUUGACGUUACCCGCAGAAGAAGCACCGGCUAACUCCGUGCCAGCAGCCGCGGUAAUACGGAGGGUGCAAGCGUUAAUCGGAAUUACUGGGCGUAAAGCGCACGCAGGCGGUUUGUUAAGUCAGAUGUGAAAUCCCCGGGCUCAACCUGGGAACUGCAUCUGAUACUGGCAAGCUUGAGUCUCGUAGAUGGGGGUAGAAUUCCAGGUGUAGCGAUGAAAUGCGUAGAGAUCUGGAGGAAUACCGGUGGCGAAGGCGGCCCCCUGGACGAAGACUGACGCUCAGGUGCGAAAGCGUGGGGAGCAAACAGG
rnacentral:rRNA from 1 species